CCCUUAGAUGUUCUGGGCUGCACGCGCGCUGCACUGAUACACUCAACGAGUUUCGCCCUGCUUCGAUAGAGGUGGGUAAUCUUCUCAAACUGCAUCGUGCUGGGGAUAGAUUAUUGCAAUUUUUAAUCUUCAACGAGGAAUUCCUAGUAAGCGCAAGUCAUCAGCUUGCGUCGAUUACGUCCCUGCCCUUUGUACACACCGCCCGUCGCUCCUACCGAUUGGGUGUGCUGGUGAAAUGUUCGGAUCGGCCGUUUGUCGCGGUUUCCGCGUCAUGUGGCUGAGAAGUUCAUUAAACCCUCCCACCUAGAGGAAGGAGAAGUCGUAACA
rnacentral:rRNA from 1 species